GAGUGAGUAUGAGAUUGAAAGAGAUGAUGAGAGGGGAGGAUGGAAGAGAGGAGUAACAAAAGUGAAAACAAUUUGAAAUAGAUUUCAGUUUUUAGUUUUUGUUUUUAGUUUUGUUACUCCUCCUUCCCAUCCUCCCCUCUUAUCUUUCAUCUUAAUCUCAUCUCCACUCU
rnacentral:snoRNA from 1 species